GAUGAACGCUGGCGGCGUGCCUAAUACAUGCAAGUCGAGCGAACAGACGAUGAGCUUGUUCCUUUGACGUUAGCGGCGGACGGGUGAGUAACGCGUGGAUCACCUACUUAUAUUACGGGGAUCAUUUCGGAAAACCGGAUCUAAUCCCGUAUAAUAUCUUGAACCGCAUUGUUCAAUGGUGAAUUACGGUUUUGGUGUAUCUACUAGCUGGUUUCGCGCUGGAUGAGCUAGUUGGUAAGGUAACAGCUUACCAAGGCUACGAUGCGUAGCCGAACUGAGAGGGUGAUCGGCGACACUGGAACUGAGACACGGUCAAGGCUCCUACGGGAGGCAGCAGUCGGCAAUGGUCGGCAAUGGGCGAAAGCCUGACACAGCGACGCCGAGUGAGUGAUGAAGGCCUUCCGUUCGUAAAGCCCUGUUAUUGGGUAAGAACAGCUGUGUAAUUAAACAUGGACGGCGUGACGGUACCGAAUCAAAAAGCACCGGCUAACUACGUG
rnacentral:rRNA from 1 species